UUAUUUUGCAUUAUCAGUCAUAUUUUCCAAAUGAAUGGCAAUGUUUAACAAUUUCUUUUAGGGUAUGCAAACUUUUUAGCACAACUGUAAAUUAAUAAUGAAGGAAGUGGACACAACAAGUCUCUAUAUAUUAAGUACCAUAUAAUACUGAGAUCAGGAUUAGUAAUAAUCAGAUGUUUUCUGUUACAGCUUUAUGCAGAUGACCUCAUUAAAACAGUGACAGCAAUGUCAAAGGCAGGCAAAUUUUCAAAGAUGGUGAUUUAUAUAGAAGCGUGUCAUUCUGGAUCAAUGCUGGAUCAGCUGAAGGAAAGCAACGUUUAUGCAGUUGCAGCAUGCAAGCCUGAUGAAAACAGCUAUGGUUGUUACGAGGACAAAAGAUUAAACACUUGUCUUUCUGAUGUCUUCACUGCUUACUGGCUACGACACACUGAGACCGU